AUUGAACGCUGGCGGCAGGCCUAACACAUGCAAGUCGAACGAGUGGCGGACGGGUGAGUAAUGUCUGGGAAACUGCCUGAGGGAGGGGGAUAACUACUAGAAACGGUCUCUAAUACCGCAUAACCUCGGAUGUGCCCAGAUGGGAUUAGCUAGUAGGUGGGGUAAAGGCUCACCUAGGCGACGCCCCCUAGCGGGUCUGAGAGGAUGACCAGCCAAACUGGAACUGAGACACGGUCCAGACUCCUACGGGAGGCAGCAGUGGUGAAGAUUGCACAAUGGGCGCAAUCCGGAUGCAGCCAUGCCGCGUGUAUGAAGAAGGCCUUCGGGUUGUAAAGUACUUUCAGCGGGGAGGCGUUACCCGCAGAAGAAGCACCGGCUAACUCCGUGCCAGCAGCCGCGGUAAUAC
rnacentral:rRNA from 1 species